UAAUGUCCAUGGUUAAUGAAAU
rnacentral:miRNA from 1 species